rnacentral:rRNA from 1 species
GGAUUAAUGGGAGCUUGCUUCCGUUAGUUAGCGGCGGACGGGUGAGUUACCCGUGGGCAACCUACCCAUAAGACUGGGAUAACUUCCGGGAAACCGGGGCUAAUCCCGGAGACCAUAAGGAACUCCUGGGUUCUUUAUUGAAAGGUGGCUUUUAGCUAUCACUUACAGAUGGGCCCGCGGCGCAUUAGCUAGUUGGUGAGGUAACGGCUCACCAAGGCGACGAUGCGUAGCCGACCUGAGAGGGUGAUCGGCCACACUGGGACUGAGACACGGCCCAGACUCCUACGGGAGGCAGCAGUAGGGAAUCUUCCGCAAUGGACGAAAGUCUGACGGAGCAACGCCGCGUGAGCGAUGAAGGCCUUCGGGUCGUAAAGCUCUGUUGUUAGGGAAGAAUAAGUGCUAGUUAAAUAAGCUGGCACCUUGACGGUACCUAACCAGAAAGCCACGGCUAACUACGUGCCAGCAGCCGCGGUAAUACGUAGGUGGCAAGCGUUGUCCGGAAUUAUUGGGCGUAAAGCGCGCGCAGGCGGUUUCUUAAGUCUGAUGUGAAAGCCCCCGGCUCAACCGGGGAGGGUCAUUGGAAACUGGGAAACUUGAGUGCAGAAGAGGAAAGUGGAAUUCCAAGUGUAGCGGUGAAAUGCGUAGAGAUUUGGAGGAACACCAGUGGCGAAGGCGACUUUCUGGUCUGUAACUGACGCUAGCG